rnacentral:rRNA from 1 species
AGCAGCCGCCGCGGUAAUACGUAGGGUGCAAGCGUUAAUCGGAAUUACUGGGCGUAAAGCGUGCGCAGGCGGUUAUAUAAGUCAGAUGUGAAAUCCCUGGGCUCAACCUGGGAACUGCAUUUGAGACUGUAUGGCUAGAGUGUGUCAGAGGGGGGUAGAACUCCACGUGUAGCAGUGAAAUGCGUAGAUAUGUGGAGGAAUACCGAUGGCGAAGGCAGCCCCCUGGGAUAACACUGACGCUCAUGCACGAAAGCGUGGGGAGCAAACAGGAUUAGAUACCCCAGUAGUCCCUGUCUCUUAUAC